rnacentral:rRNA from 1 species
UACGUAGGGCGCGAGCGUUUGUCCGGAAUUAUUGGGCGUAAAGAGCUCGUAGGCGGCCUGUCGCGUCCGCUGUGAAAUCCCGGGGCUCAACCCCGGGCCUGCAGUGGAUACGGGCUGGCUGGAGGCAGGCAGGGGAGAACGGAAUUCCUGGUGUAGCGGUGAAAUGCGCAGAUAUCAGGAGGAACACCGGUGGCGAAGGCGGGUCUCUGGGCAGUAACUGACGCUGAGGAGCGAAAGCGUGGGGAGCGAACAGG